GCACUCGCAAGGAUUUAUACAUGGAGUUUCGCUACAGCUCGUCUUUCUUUCCAUUGAGGACUUCCAUAUAAAAAUUUAUGGAGAUCCUGACCUUACCCCUGUUGAGCAAUGUGAUGGAAAACCACUUCCAUCAAAUAUCCCGCCAAUCAGUUUACCCUCGCUGAUACCAGGGUAUUGCUCAGUGGCUCUGGCGAGGCAUUCGCUCCAGCAUCUCAUCAUCGUCAGGCACAAGGC
rnacentral:sRNA from 1 species